AGUAAUCCCAGGUGGCAUGGGUGAUGCUGGCUGUUCCUUUCGAGCUUGGAUCUAACUUCCAGGCUGAAACACAGUGUGCAGUACAGGACGUCACAACCCAAGCUAUCUUUGGAGUGACUCUGCGCAGGGCAUGGGCACGGACACUUGAAUGAGGCACGAGGGCUUUGGAAGCACCUUGCGACAGCAGAGUACAUCUCCUGCCACGUUCCUGAGGUGCGCCAGGCAUCAGCGGUUCCAGUUCCUGAAAUGCUGGAGAUGCUCGGAGUGCAAGAGGAGUUGGGAGCGUGAUGC